AGUGAACGCUGGCGGUAGGCCUAACACAUGCAAGUCGAACGGCAGCACAGUAAGAGCUUGCUCUUACGGGUGGCGAGUGGCGGACGGGUGAGGAAUACAUCGGAAUCUACUUUUUCGUGGGGGAUAACGUAGGGACACUUCCGCUAAUACCGCAUACGACCUACGGGUGAAAGCAGGGGAUCUUCGGACCUUGCGCGAUUCAAUGAGCCGAUGUCGGAUUAGCUAGUUGGCGGGGUAAAGGCCCACCAAGGCGACGAUCCGUAGCUGGUCUGAGAGGAUGAUCAGCCACACUGGAACUGAGACACGGUCCAGACUCCUACGGGAGGCAGCAGUGGGGAAUAUUGGGCAAUGGGCGCAAGCCUGAUCCAGCCAUACCGCGUGAGUGAAGAAGGCCUUCGGGUUGUAAAGCCCUUUUGUUGGGAAAGAAAAGCAGCAGGUUAAUACCCCGCUGUUCUGACGGUACCCAAAGAAUAAGCACCGGCUAACUUCGUG
rnacentral:rRNA from 1 species